AUGAAUAUUGGUAUUCUAUUCCAAGUAGUGUUUAGACACAGAGCUGAACUGAAAACAAUAUUGAGGUUAUUUCACUUGGAAAAUACCACACCUUUCAUUCGCCGCAGAGGCUAGGUUACUCUUGUAUCUCUCUCACUGAAUGUAAAUUCUCUCUUUUAGAUUUUCAUAUUUUCUACGCUCUCCCAUCCCUGGGUGGUAGUGAAGAGUGUUAAACACUUACACAUAUUUGUUUUUUUAUGGGAGAGCCUGUGUACAUUUGCUACUUAAUACUUGCUACUUGAAUGCCUCUAGCUUCUUGAUUUACUCGUGUUUAAUCAUCAGGUUUGCAUACCGUCUUUAAGUGGUGUGGGAUUUAAACAUUUUAUUGUACUUUUAAAUCCUGAGAAUUUUCUUCCAAUGUAAGUCACAUAAAGCCUCCAGAACAGGUUUCUACAAAAGUGUUUUAAAAACAUACUCCUAUGGAGUAAAGUCUACUUUAUUGUCAUACAAUACUGUGCGUUUUUAUACUUACCCAGUUUCUUGUAACCAUCACCAGGGAAAGAGUACAAAACAAUUUCAACACUGUCAAAGAAUUCCCUCAUAAUGUCACCUUUGUAUUCUGACUCUAGUAACCUUGUUUUUUCUCCAUUUCUAUGUUUUAGCCUUCUCUCCAAUUUUAUAUAAAUAGAUUAUACAGUACUGUAAACUUUGAGAUUGGGUUACUUAAUUUAGGAAAAUACAUUUUAGUUCCUUUCAAGUUGUUGCAUUUAUUAAGUAUUUGCCUUGUUGUAUUGCUGUGUAGAAUUUCAUUAUGUGGGUGUACUAACAAGUUCAUAUGUUUGUUCAUCCAUUAAAGGACAUAUGGAUUAUUUCUAGUUUAUAGCAAUUAUAAAUAGGGCUGUUAUACACAUUUGAAUAUGAGUGUUUGUAUAAAAAUGUUUUUACUUCUCUCAGAUAAAUACCUGUAGUGGGUUUUCUGAGUUAUAUGUUAUGUGUAUGUUUAAGGUUAUGAGAAACCACCAAAGUGUUUUCCCGUGUGACUGUGAUAUUUUACAUAGGUACCAGUAGUAUUUAAGAGUUCAUAACAUUUUCCUAUUCUUUCUAGAACUUGAUAGUGUCAUUACUUUUUAUUAAACCAUUCUACUGGGUGAGUAAUAGUUUCUCAUUGUGCAUUUGAUUUGCAUUUCCAUAAUAACCAAUGAUAUUGAGCAUCUUUUCACAAGCUUAUUUGCCAUCCAUAAAUCUUUUUUGAUGAGAUAUCUGUUAAAAUCUUCAGCUCAUUUUCUUUUUUAAUUUGUUUCUUUUUUAUUGUUCAGUUUUGUAAAUUCUUUAUAUAUUCUGAAUACAAGUUUUUUAUCUGAUAUGCAGUGUGCAAUUUUUUUUCUAGUUUCUGGAUGAUCUUUUUAUUUUGUUAAAAGUUCCCAUAAAAGAGAAAAAUAAGUUUUCAUUUUGAUGAAGUCUAAUUUAUCACAUUUUUCUUUUACAGAUUAUGAUAUUGGUAUUGUAUAUAAAAACUCCUGACUGUCACAAAGAUUUUGUCUUCUAAGAGUUCAAUAGUUUUAUGUUUUACAGUUUUAUAUUUAUAUUAUUUAAAUUUAAAUUUGAGUUAAUUUUUUUAAUAUAGUACAAGUGUAGUUUGAUGAAUAAUUUUUUAGUGGAUGCCAGUUGUUCUAGUUGAAAACACUGCCCUUUCUCCAUUGAAUUGCCUGUGCAUCUUUGUCAAAAAUCAGGUAAUAAUAUUGGAGUGAGUCUAUUUCUAGAAUAUCUUAUCUAUUUCAUUGAUCUAUGUGUUUAUAUUAUACCAAUACUAUACCGUCUUGACACUGUAGCUUUGUAGUAUAUCUCAGAGUUGAAUAAUAUGAGUCCUCCACAUCUGCUCUUCUUUUUCAGUCUUGUUGAAGCUAUACUAGUUCCUUUAUGUAUUCCGUGUAUAUAUUAGAAUAAGGUUUUCUAUAGCUACAAUGAACCCGUACAUAAAUAUUGAUUGAUAUUGUGUUAAAACCAUAUAUUGAUUGGAGAAAAAUUGCUAUUUCAAACUUACUGAGUUGAAUCCACAAGUUUUGUAUAUUUCUUUCUUCAGGACUUCUUUGGUAUGUUCCCUUAAUACUUUGUACUUUUUAGCAUACAGAUUCUGAACAAGUUUUGCUACGUUUAUACCUAAGUAUUUAAUUUUUUUAGCUAUUGUAAAUAGUAUUUUUUAAAACUUUGGUUUCGAAUUUUUCAUUGCUAGUGGAUAGAAAUACUACCGACCUUUUCGUAGACUGAUAUGUAACCUAUAAUCUUGUUUAAUUGGCUUGCUAGCUCUAGCAGUAUUUUUGGUAGACUUGUUGAGACUUCCUAUGUAAACAAUUAUGUGUCAAUAAAAACAGUUGUAUUACUUUCUUUCCAAUCUGAAUUUUUUUUUAUGUCUUUUUCUUGCCUUUUGGAACUGGCUAGAACUUCGAGUAUGAUGUUGAAUAAAACUGGUUCUGGAGUACAUGUGCAGAUCAUGCCGGAUUGUUGCCUAGAGAAGUCACAUGUGAUCCUUAUCUUUUCUUCUCUCUAUAAAUAGGUAAGGUGUUUCUGCCUCCACUCUGGCUUUCUGUAGAAUUUUUUUCUUUAUUUUAGAAUGUUUUAAUGAAAGGUUUAAAAUGAGAUUAAAUUACACAUUUUUCAAAAAAAAAGAAUGUUUGAAAUUUGAAUAUGAUAUGCCUACAUGUAGGAUUUUUUUUGUAUUUGUCUUGAUGUUUUCUGCAAUUCUUAGAUUUAUGAUUUUGUUUCAGCAUUAAUUUGCAGGACAUUCUCAGUCAUUAUUUCUUCAUAUGUUGCUUCUGUUCUCGUUACUGCUAUUAUGUGUUCGUUACAGCUUUUGUACUUGCUCUGGUUCUUGGGUAUUUUGUUCUGUUUGGCGAUUUUUUUCCCAUCUUUUUCUCUUUGAUUCUUGGUUUUGGAGGUUUCUAUUGAUAUAGCCUCAAGCUCCAAGUUUCUUCCUUCAGCCAUGUCUAGUUUACAGUUUGGCUGAAGGAAGGAAUAAGCCCGCCAAAGACAUUCUUUAUUUUUGAUACAGUAAUAUUUAUAGCAUAUUACAAAUAUUUUCUUAGAAUUUCAAUCUCUGCUUAGCUUACAUUAAUCAUCUAUUAUUGCAAGUUGUCUACUUUUGUCCAUUAACGUCCUUAUCAUAUUAUAGUUUUAAAAAAGAUCAUAUUCAGAUAAUUUCAAUAUUCCUGCCAUAUGAAACUGUUUCUAAUGCUUAUUUAGUGUUUUCAAACUGUGUGUGUGUGGGGCGGGGGGUUUGUUGUUUCGGAUUUUUUUUUUUUUUUUUUUUUUUUUUUUUGCCUUUUAGUGAGCCUUGUAAUAGUUUGUUGAAAUACUGAGAUAAUGUACCAUGUAAAAAGAACUUCAGUAUAUAGGCUUUUAUUGAUAUAGUGGUAAGAUGUGGGGAGAGGAAAAGUAUUCUGUAGUCCUAUGAUUACAUGUCAGUUUUUUGAUGAACAUGUAUCCCUAGACUGAACUUCAUCAGUUUUUGUAGAUAUUUUUCCUUCUUGGUUAAAAUAGGUUGAAUAAAGGGGGCUGGAAUUGGAUCUUUCUUUUCUCCUAUGUCAAUUAGGCUCUGAGAAAACUGUAGUAGUUAGGUUCUGUUAUAGAAUAGUUUCUUUAAAGUAUAGACCCUAUAAAGAGGAACACAGUGUUUCGUCAUACAGCUCAGGUUUUCCAACCUUGGCACUUGUUCCUGUAGAUGUUUCUGCUCCAAUAAAUUGUGUUUUCUUGUAUUUACUCUCCAGUUUUGGGGUCAGUGGUUUUCCCUGUAAACUUACUCUCUGACAAAUCUAAGAAAAACUGUUUUUUUUUUUUUCCCCAGUUUGUAUAACUUUCUACUUGUUAAAAUGCAGUGGUGAAUUCUAAGCUUCUUACCUGUAGUACUAAAACCAGAGGUCCCUCUUCCCUUUUUGGUUCAUAAAACUCUCCUUUGCUGUUGUGGGUAGGGAGUCAGGGCUUUGCCUCCCAACAGUUACUAGGAUUAUUCCAGCAAAGUCUACAGGCACACUGUCUCUGGGGAGAGUAAGAGGUUUCGUCUAUUUGCUGGAAGUUACCUAGCACAUGGCAGGGUAAGUCAACAGAGAGCCCUCUCAGGAACAUCAUAGCUGCUGAUGCAGAGAGCAAGUGGCAUUGGUCCUUUCUGUGUUCUCUUGUAUAGGGUAGAAGAGUACACAGGGCUCCAUCCUGCAGGAUAUGUUAUACAGCUUGUGUGGAAAAGGGAAGGGGAACACCUUCAUUGCUGACAUUUACUUGGUAUAAGGUGUGGAGAGUUAACAAAUUUCCUACAGCUCUGUAGAGAGGGGGUGGGCCCUGCCAACAAAGGUUGGCACUCAUCUCAAGUCAGGAGGGCAAAACCUGUUUCACGGCUCCCCUAUUCCUUUACCUGGGCCUCUGACCAGACACAGCAGGCUCUUAGGGCUUUUUCUGUCUGUACUCAUUGUCAGUUACACAUUUUGAGCUGCUUUAGCCUUUGGGCCAGAUUAUACAGAAAGUAGAAUAAAUGAACAACAACAACAAAAUAACAAAAUCCCCAAACUCCCAAACAAAUCACAGUGACUUCAUCACCAAGUUGUAUCUCAAGUUCUGAUAGUUCUGAUAGAGUCUUCUAAUAUAUAUUUUAUCCCAGAGUUCUUCAUUCUAACUGUGGGAGAGAUGUUACUUCAUUUUUUUUCUCUAGAAGCAGAUCCCAGAAUAGUUUUUAAGCAGCUGAAUGGAGUAAAGAAACAACAGUUUAAAUAAAAGAAAAUAUUUAAAGUAACAUGAUUAAUAAUUCAUGGUGAUCAGAGUAUGCAGAGUCAAAGGUUUAUUUCCUCUUUCUCUAAUUAAAGGAGAAUCAUAAAAAAUAACUAUUGGGUACUAGGCUUACUUAGUACCUGGGUGAUGAAAUAAUCUGGACAACAGACCCCUGUGACAUGAGUUUAUUUAUAUAACAAACCUGCUUAUGUACCCCUGCACCCAAAAUAAAAGUUAUAAAAAUUAGAAAUAAAAAAAGGUUGUACCUAUCUUCAAUUCAAACAUAACAGCUUAAUGCUUCUUGUCAUGUUGGCAUGCAUUUUUUAAAUGUGAUUUUUUGAGUAAAAGGAAUUUUAUCAAAUAUUUUAGAACAUAUGACCUUUGUGUGCUAUGAUAAGGUUACCUUGUUUUUAAACAACUCUGAAUUUUGUGAUAACCUGAAGUUGAAAUUUUUGCUUCACGUCUUUUGGUAUGUUGGCAAAAGAUGGUUCUAGUUGCAUGAACUUUUAAUUUCUUCCUUCUAAGAGAUUAAUUCCAAUAUUUACCUGCAUUUCCAGCAGACUAAGCCCAUCAAAAUAUGAAGAUUAUGUAUACAUAGCUCUUAUUAUUCGUCAAAACCUUAUUUUUUUAUUUUUAGAAUGAAAAGAGGAGGGUCAGCCUAUUCAAAUAUAUGCUGUGCUUCAGUGCCUCUACUGAAAUCCAUCUCAUUGCAUGUAACAGCGGAGUAAGACAGGCAGAAGAUAAGCAGUUAAAAUGGAAAAAGAGAAAAACAUGCUGGAAUUAUUGGCAUCUAACAGAAACUUUGUCACUGGGUCUUGGAGUAUUUAGGGUGCAUAACAGGGCACCACUCAGACCUUAACUCCAAGUCAACUUGUCUCUCUAUAUGCAUUAAAUGACUAAGUUUUUAUUAAAUAUUUAGAUUUAAUAAGAAAAUUUUAUCUCAAUUUAAAUCAUAUUUGUCUUCUCUGACUGUGCAAUCUCUUAAUGAAUUGUGAACUGACACUUUAUAUUGACAUUUUACAAGCUCCUAGCAAAAUUGCUUAGCAAAUUGAUUAUUUCCUUCUGAAAUGUUUGAUGAUAUACCCAGCUCUUAUUAAAAUGCCCAAACCUUACUAUCUCACUACUUGUCAAGGGUUCCCAGUGGCAAAUAUCAUAUUCAGUUUUAAUUAUUUGGAAUAGGAACUGAGGGCCUCAAUCCAUUGUAAGUUUUAUUGUAGAAAAAAAUAGACUGCAUACUGUUGUUAUGUGCAGUGAAAAUAUCUACACUUUUUUCCAGUUUCUCUAAGUAAACAUUUUGUGAGUGGUUGUUAGAAAGACAAAAAAGUAUAUAAGUUAUUGUUAAAAAGUCAUUCAUGCUUGCAGGGAUGUAGAGAAAAGAAAACUUACAUACUGUUGGUAGGAAUGUAAAUUAGUACAGCCAUUAUGGAAAAUAGUAUGGACUUUUUCAAUAAACUAAAAGUAGAACUACCAUAAGGUUUUAUAAUCCCACUACUGGGUAUUUAUACAAAGAAAAAGAAAUUAGCAUAUUGAAGGGCUAUCUUUACCCCAUGUUUAUUGCAGCACUGUUCAAAUAGCAAAAAAAUGGAAUCAACCUAAGUGUCCAUCAACAGAUGAAUGAAGAAAGAAAAUAUGGUAAAUGUUCACAAAAAAUAAUACUUGGCCAAAACAUAAUGAAAUCCUGCCAUUUGCAACUAUUUGGAUAGAACUAGAUUUCAUUAUGUUAAGUGAAAGAAGCCAGGCACAGAACGACAAUAUUAUCUAUCCUCACUUACGUAUGUGAGCUGGAAUAGUUGAUGUUACAGAAACAGAGAGUAGAAUAAUACCAGAGGCUGAGAAGGUUGUGCGCAUGUCAAGUAGUGGAGGAACAUGCAAAAAGAUUGGUUAAUGGCUAAAAAUAUACAGUUAGAAGGAAUAAGUUCUACUAUUCAGUAGCAAAGUAGGGUGACUAUAGGUAAUAAAAAUGUGUAGUUCAAAAUAGCUAGAAAUUAGGACUUGAAAUGUUUUCAACAUAUAGAAAUGAUAAUUCCUCUAAGUGAUGGAUACCUUAAACACCCUGAAUUAAUCAUUACAUACACUAUGCACAUAACAAAAUUACAUGUACCUUAUAAAUAUGUAGAAAUAUUUGUACCAAUAAAUUCUUUAGGAAAAGAAUUUAAAGUAUAACAAAACCAAAAAAUGUAAGCCUAUUACCUAAAUCAAGCACGUAUUCUAUUAAAAUUAUUACAUCAAAAAUAUUUCAGGAAACCCUGUGUUCUUUUCUAUUCUCAUCAUAAGAAAAUGGAGCCCUAGAAUAGCUUUUAUCAACUUAAGAAGACAGUAUUCUUGCAGAUCCAGUAAAAAUGAGGAUCUUUUUCAACUAUUAAGUAAUAAUCAAGUUUAUUUUGAGUUGAUUAAUUUUUGAAAACCAAGCAUCCAGCUAAACAUUUAGGAAACUUUGGUGGAAGCUAAGGAGUUCAUAGAAAAAUUGUUUCAAACAUCUGCUAGUUCUGGACUUGUAAGCUAAAAUUUGCAGGAGCUAAUAUGGUGGUUUUUGCUCAGUUCUCUUUGACUGCUGUGGCUUUUCAUGCAAAGAAAUCAGGGAUUUUCAUGCUAGGAUAUGUACAGAAAACAUAUUGGGCUCUCUAAUUUCACUCUUUCACUUGUAGCUUAAGUUUCAGUUUGUUAAAUAAUCCCACUAAUAUUCGUAGGAACUUGGAAAUCGAGAGAGAGAGACAAAUUUUAAAGUCUACCUGGGAUGCUGUUCAAAUACCAUUUGCUGUUCAAAAGAACAUGGGGUUUCCUGAAUUAUUUUUGAAGGUUGUUAUGACCAAAGUGUUACUGUUUGUUUUCCAAGUUAGCUCUUUUGUUUGCUAUUUUAGGAAUGAUUUUUUAACGUUGAACAUAUUUCCAUAAAGUGACUAUCCAACUAAGAUGCCUUGCGUUUCAGUUCCACACUGCAUUAAAUGACUAUCAGAUUUAAGUAGUUGCAAUAUUGCUGAAUAUCUCCUGAGUACUCAUAGGAAUAUUAAUGAGUAUCUGGAAUCUCUCUGACAAGUUUCCUACAUUACUCCAAUGUCAGGAAAUUUUUUAAAAUCUCUCUUCUUCCUAUUGCAUAGACAAUAUCCCAUUGCAAACUGGCUCCUCCCAUCUUAUGAAGGUGUUUGAUUUGAACUAAUUUUUAAAAUUAAGAUUCUUAAAAACGUAGUUGAGAAACCUGUGUAGGUCAGCUCAGUGAAGCCUUGAAAUAUUUUAAAUUCAUUAAAAUCUAUGCAAAAUUGGCAAUAUCUUAGAAAUAACAGAUGACAGGAAGUUACUAGUUCAAUGUCAUAACAUUUAUAUACUCUCUCUUGUGGUGAGACUUUUUUAGGUACUUAAACACCAGUUAAUCACAGAUGCUGCAUAGAUUUUAUUUGGAGGGAAUGCAUGAAUCUGGAUUUUGAUAUUUUUCCCCCCAUAGGACAUUUGGUUGGCUUCUGUCCCUGGAAUGUUGCCAAGACAUAUUUUGACACUUUCACUUUUAAUGAUUCAUUUGUUGAAAUCGUCACUUGGCAUGCAAAUAUUAUUUGUGGGGCCAACAUGAAAAGCUGCCACUCUUCCUUUAUGGCAUUUUAAAAUCUGAUAGAUGAAUAAUGUUUUAUCCACUAUAAUAAUGAACUUCACUUAAAUAUGACACAGAAUUCUUGAAAAUGAUCUUGUUCCUCACAAUUUUUAAGAAUUUAUCUGCAGUAGACAAAAAUAGGAAAGUCUAAUAUUAUAUUACAAAAAUGUUGUUAUAUUAUUUCUUCUGAUUUUUAAAAUACUCCCUGCUUUUACAGAAAAACAGUCAACAUUUUCUCAUUCACUUCUAAAAGCGCUAAGACUAAGGACAGAAACUUAGUAAAACUUAACAAAAUGAAAGGGUGGCAAACUAGAAGUUUUGACAUUAAAGUUAGUUAAAACUGACAUUAAAGUUAGUUAUUGGUUAGGUGACAAAAUAUAUGGAUGAUGGAUUUUUAUAUCAGUGGUUUGAACAGAUACCUUGGCAUUUUAGGAACUCAGGUACAGAGUCAUGGCACCAAUGAACACUAAUAAUUUUUUUUUGACAAUUAAACCUCUGGUUAGCCAGGAAAAAUAGACAUUCUUUACUCACUAAACGAAUGCCUUGUCAGAAUUCAUGUGACCUAACCUUCCAAGUCUAUAUCCUAUCUGAUACAGGUAAAGUAUUACUUUUUAUUACUAAUGACUGACUGUAGUAACUACUAAAACAUAUAUCUGGCAGUAAAAUUUGUCUCUCUGAUCUCUCUAUAUGGAUCUUAAAAGUAAAAAUGGCUAACAAAUGAGCUGUUGGGAGCAUUUUAAGAGUUUAUAUAGAAGCAAUGGAAGAAUAUGGUGUUGUAUAGUCUGUUCAGUAUGUAUUUAGCAGAAGCUUUUAGUUAGGCUCAACUAAUGGAAAGGGUGUGUGAACAUUUUUGCCUAAGCAAAUCCUAUAAAAGUUAACAAAGCAUAUCUUACAAAAAUCAUUUAUUUAACAUCUGCUAUACUUGGCACCGCAUGAAUCAAAAACUGCGUGGACAAAAACCUUUACAAGCCAAUUCUUCAAACAGGAUGCUUACAAUAUGAGAUAGAAGCAAUAAUGGGUCCAAAGUAAGUUAUUACACUGACUUUGUACCAAACAUUCCAGCAGUUCAUCAAGUCUUCCAGUUUAGAGAAGAGAAUACUUAUUUUCAAUUUGGCCUAAUUAGAAAAAACAAUUAUUUAUGGAAAGUUUGGGACUUAAAAAUGGCAUCUACUACCAGAUCAUGCUGAGUCUUUUUUCUACCUCUCUGGCUGUGUUUGUUUGUUUACUUUUCCAGCUUCUCCUUUUUCAUGUGCCCAUUACAUGUUAGAGUUCUGUAAGACCUUCACUCUUUUCUUCUUCUUACUUUCUCCUGAAAUAAGUUUGCCAAAGUCUAUGACUUCUAUUAGUAUCUGUACAUUAAUGGCAUCUCAAUAUGCAUCUGCAGAUUAAGCCUCUCCUCAGAUUCUGGUGUACAACUGCCUUUACUCUGAUGUCUCAACAGCACCACAAAAAAACAACAACUACAAGACUGAAUAUGUGAUCCUUCUAAGCCUUCUCCUCAUUAGCAAUUUCUGGCUUAAAAAUGAUGCCAACAUCCAACCAGAUGCUCAAGUCAAAAACCACAGAAUCAUCCUUAACUCUCUGUCUUACUCAUGUUCCAUAUUCAAUGUAUCAUCAAAUUCUGUCCGUUUUAAUGGUAAAGAAAUUCUAGUCUUUAUUAUUACUAUCAUGACCUUAGUCUACUGUAGUGUCUUUUCAGGUGGUUUUCCUAUGUAAACUGUGACACCCACCCUCAACAAUUCUUUAUUUUCCAUGAUGAUACUAAGACAAGUAUCCACUUUGAAGUAAAAGAAGCUAAUCUGGAAAGGCUACAUACUGAACUAUUCCAAUUAUAUGACAUGCUGGAAAAGGACCUUGAAGACAGUAUAAAGAUUAGUGGUUGCCAUGGGUUAGGGGAAAGGGAGGGAUGAGUGAGCAGAGAACAGGGAGUAUUUAGGUCAGUAAAACUAUUCUGAAUGACACUGUAAUGGUGGAUACCUGUCUUAUACAUUUGACAAAACCUAUACAUGUACAAGAGUGGACCAUAAUGUAGUAAUGUAAACUAUGGACUAGGGUGAUGAUGGUGUGCUAAUGUUGGUUCAUCAGUUGAAACAAAUAAAUCGCUUUGGUACAAAAUUUUGAUAAUGGAGGCUGUGUAUAUGUAGUGGUAAAGUGCAUAUAAGAAUCCUACUUUCUUGUUUGAUUUUGCUAUGAAUCUAAAACUAAUUUAAAAAACACAGCUGGGUGUGGUGGCUUAUGCCUGUAAUCCCAGCACUUUGGGAGGUUGAAGCAGGUAGAUUGCUUGAGCCCAGGAGUUUAAGACCAGCCUAGGCAACAUGGCAAAACCCCAUCUCUACAAAAAAUUAGCCAGACGUGAUGGUGUGCACUUGUAGAAUCAGCUACUCAGGAAGCUAAGGUGGGAGGAUCAUCUGAGCCUGGGAGGUUGAGGCUAUAGUGCACUAUAAUCAAUGCCAGUGCACUCUAGCCUGGGUGACAGAGUGAGAUCCUAUCUCAAAGAAGCAAACAAAAAACCUCAAUAUUAAAUCUACUCUGAUCUUACAUCUUCUCCUCACUACUGAAAAUGCUUUAUUGCCUUUUAAGAGCUGCUAAAAUGAGUUGGAAGUUGCUAGCACAGUACUUAUCCACCUCCGUUAGCACCGUAUCCUCCAUUCUCACUCUUUUUGUGCUCUGUUUUCCAGCCACACUGGUCCUUUUGAGGUAUCAAUGGUUACUGUGCAGUCAGUCCUUCCCUAGGGCUUUUGACCCAUCCCCUUCUCCUUGCCUAAUAAAUAUCUACUCAUCCUUCAGAUCUGCUCAUUGUUAUUUCCUAAGGAAAAAGUUCUUUGAGGCCUGUAUCUUUCUGCCAAAUUGAUUGCUAUUGCUGUGUCUUUCAUAUAUAUAUAUGAAAGAUAUAUAUAUGAAAGAUAUGUAUGAAUAUAUAUGAGAUAUAUAUAUAUAUGAAAGACACACAUAUGUAUAAAUACAUAUAUAUAUGAAAGACACAGCAAUAGCAAUCAAUAUAUAUAAUUAUUCCCCAGAGCUCUUACCACUUUUAUUUAUAUUUAGACAUUUAGAAUUAUUAGAUAUUCAUAAUUAUUUAUUAACAUCUGUCUCCACUACUAGACUGUAAGCAUCUUGAAGCAAUAUGCUGACUGUUUUUGAUCACCCCUGAGACCAGUGAGUGAUUGCAACACAGGAGGCAUUUAGCAAAUAUUUAUGGAAUGAAUGAAUGAAUGAAUGAAUAGAAGAAAGAAUAAGGACUGCCAGAUGUACUGUUGGUUACAAGUUUGCUUACUGUUCUAUCUAGCUAUUAGAGCUUUGGAGUCACUGAAAUAUUAGUAUUUUAGAAAACAUUCAGAACAUGCAUUUUAAAAAGUCUCAUCACCAUGUAUAUAUAUGUAUAUAUGUAUGUAUGUAUAUAUGGUCUUAAUACUGGCUGUCAUAAGCAUACCUUCCAGAGGAAUCCAAGGCUGCCCUAUGGCUAAUCAUUUUAUUUCUGAGUCUAUUGUAUAUGGUGUGUGUGUGUAUGUGUGUAUAUAUAUAUAUAUAUAUAUAUAUAUAUAUAUGGUGACAGGACUUUUAAAAAUGCACAUAUAUAUACAUACAUAUUCAUAUAUACACAUAUACAUAUAUAUGCAUAUGUGUAUAUAUGGUGAAACUUUUUAAAAUGCAUGUAUAUGUACAUACAUGUAUCUAUCCAUAUGUGUAUACACACACAUAUCUCUCCACACAUAAACACACACACACACACACACACACAGAUACAUAUAUAUAUAUCCCUAAGCAUCUGCAUUUAAUGUGGUUAGUCAACACUUGUGAUUUCAGAUAGAUGCCAGUCUUGUGAACUUAAGCAAUAUAAGUAUAGUUCUUCAACAGUGGGGAUUAUCUGAUGUCGAGGCCUUUCUCCAUAUCCAGCCUCUUUCAAGUCCUGAAAAAUCAUCUCUGAAUGGAUGGCCACUAAAGAAAUUUCAUUGUUUACUAACAGACUCAGAAAUAAAAUUAUUCGUUAGCCAUAAGGCAGCCUUGGAUUCCUCUGGAAGGUAUGCUUAUGGCAGGCAGCAUUAAGACCAAAUCACCAUGAGGCUGCCUGUUUGCAGAGGUUUGUUUACACCUGGUAUCUACUAUACAUUUUCUCUGACUUCAUUAAUAAACAAUUGAGACAAACCAUUUCCUUACUUUCUGGGUAAGCUAAGCAAGUUAUCUUAAUUACUGUCAACCUUUAGUGACUACCAUGGGGAUUCUAACCAUUCACUUCAGUAGUUAUUAUACAAAUUACUUAUGAAUUUUAAAUAGGCAGCCAUGGAUUUUUGGGUUCUCUUACAUGUACCUUUUUUCCCAGAUGAAAUUAUGUGUUUGUAUAUCUAUAGCUAUAUGGUAGAUGUAUAUAUAUAGAAAUAUGUAUAUUCUAAAUGAAUGCCUUUCCUUG